GACAGUUCGGUCCCUAUCCGUCGCGGGCGCAGGAAAUUUGAGAGGAGCUGUCCUUAGUACGAGAGGACCGGGAUGGACGCACCGCUGGUGUACCAGUUGUUCUGCCAAGGGCAUCGCUGGGUAGCUAUGUGCGGACGGGAUAAGUGCUGAAAGCAUCUAAGCAUGAAGCCCCCCUCAAGAUGAGAUUUCCCAUUCCGCAAGGAAGUAAGAUCCCUGAAAGAUGAUCAGGUUGAUAGGUCUGAGGUGGAAGCGUGGUGACACGUGGAGCUGACAGAUACUAAUAGAUCGAGGACUUAACCUAU
rnacentral:rRNA from 1 species